rnacentral:rRNA from 2 species
ACGGGGUGCAGCAGGCGCGAAAACUUUGCAAUGUGCGAAAGCACGACAAGGUUAAUCCGAGUGGUUUCUGCUAAAGAAACCUUUUGUCAGUCCCAGAAACACUGAUGAAUAAGGGGUGGGCAAGUUCUGGUGUCAGCCGCCGCGGUAAAACCAGCACCUCAAGUGGUCAGGAUGAUUAUUGGGCCUAAAGCAUCCGUAGCUCGUUUUGUAAGUUUUCGGUUAAAUCCAUGCGCUUAACGUAUGGGCUGCCGGGAAUACUGCAUAACUAGGAAGUGGGAGAGGUAGACGGUACUCGGUAGGAAGGGGUAAAAUCCUUUGAUCUAUUGAUGACCACCUGUGGCGAAGGCGGUGUACCAGAACACGUUCGACGGUGAGGGAUGAAAGCUGGGGGAGCAAACCGGAUUAGAUACCCGGGUAGUCCCAGCUGUAAACGAUGCAGACUCAGUGAUGCAUUGGCUUGUGGCCAAUGCAGUGCUGCAGGGAAGCCGUUAAGUUUGCCGCCUGGGAAGUACGUACGCAAGUACGAAACUUAAAGGAAUUGGCGGGGGAGCAC